UACAGAGGGGGCAAGCGUUGUUCGGAAUUACUGGGCGUAAAGGGCGCGUAGGCGGCCUUCUAAGUCGAACGUGAAAUCCCCGGGCUCAACCCGGGAACUGCGUCCGAGACUGGAAGGCUUGAAUCCGGGAGAGGGAUGUGGAAUUCCAGGUGUAGCGGUGAAAUGCGUAGAUAUCUGGAGGAACAUCGGUGGCGAAGGCGGCAUCCUGGACCGGUAUUGACGCUGAGGCGCGAAAGCUAGGGGAGCAAACGGG
rnacentral:rRNA from 1 species